CGUCCCUACCGCACUCAAGCCGCCGUACCACCGCAAGCCCCCAGUUAAGCCAGAGGAUUUCACGACAGACGCGACCAGCCGCCUUCGGCCGCGUCGACCGAACGCUGGCGGCGUGCCUAAUACAUGCAAGUAGAACGCUGAAGAAGGAGCUUGCUUCUUUUGGAUGAGUUGCGAACGGGUGAGUAACGCGUAGGUAACCUGCCUUGUAGCGGGGAUAACUAUUGGAAACGAUAGCUAAUACCGCAUAACAGCUUUUGACACAUGUUAGAAGCUUGAAAGAUGCAAUUGCAUCACUACGAGAUGGACCUGCGUUGUAUUAGCUAGUAGGUAGGGUAACGGCCUACCUAGGCGACGAUACAUAGCUGGUCUGAGAGGACGAUCAGCCACACUGGGACUGAGACACGGCCCAGACUCCUACGGGAGGCAGCAGUGGGGAAUUUUCCGCAAUGGGCGAAAGCCUGACGGAGCAAGACCGCGUGGGGGAAGAAGGCUCUUGGGUUGUAAACCCCUUUUCUCUGGGAAGAAAGUUGUGAAAGCAACC
rnacentral:rRNA from 1 species